AGUGAACGCUGGCGGUAGGCCUAACACAUGCAAGUCGAACGGCAGCACAGUAAGAGCUUGCUCUUACGGGUGGCGAGUGGCGGACGGGUGAGGAAUACAUCGGCAUCUACUUUUUCGUGGGGGAUAACGGAGGGAAACUUACGCUAAUACCGCAUACGACCUACGGGUGAAAGCAGGGGAUCUUCGGACCUUGCGCGAUUGAAUGAGCCGAUGUCGGAUUAGCUAGUUGGCGGGGUAAAGGCCCACCAAGGCGACGAUCCGUAGCUGGUCUGAGAGGAUGAUCAGCCACACUGGAACUGAGACACGGUCCAGACUCCUACGGGAGGCAGCAGUGGGGAAUAUUGGGCAAUGGGCGCAAGCCUGAUCCAGCCAUACCGCGUGGGUGAAGAAGGCCUUCGGGUUGUAAAGCCCUUUUGUUAGGAAAGAAAAGCAGCAGGUUAAUACCCCGCUGUUCUGACGGUACCCAAAGAAUAAGCACCGGCUAACUUCGUG
rnacentral:rRNA from 1 species